GAUUGCAAGGAAGAGAAGAAGGAGUCCACAGAAGCCUCGGGUAAGCUUAAAUUUAGUUGGUUGCUGCUAUGAACUUGACUCUCGAAAUGGUACCCAAAGGAAUGUCUACAUUUGGGGGUCUGUUGAUUUUGAGAUUUUGGUGCCCUCAAGUGGAAGGAAGACCUUUCCAGAAAGGCACUGAGGCCUUUCAGAGACAGCAACAAGCAGCUCCAAACCUCCGAAAGCUUAUUUAUGGGACAGGCAAAGAAUUCUGGCUCAGAGCUGGAAACAUUUCAGUUUCUCUGAUUAUUUUCUAAAAAGGAGAUAGGGAAUUGGUUGGAGUAUUGGGCUGGUAUUGUUGACAUCCAUCAUUGCUGGCCGUCACAUUUCCUGUUUGGCAGAUGUCUUUAAUCAUCAGCUUACAAGGACCACACAUUGGUCUUGUGAAGUACACUUCUGGGUUUGCUGUAAAACUCGAUGCAAGUCGUGUCCAUUGCAUCAUGUCAUGUCCCCUUUUAAAAAGUCACUCAUGAGAAAUUUUUUGUAGAAUUUAGUGCCAGAAAAAUAUUUCUGCCCAUAAAAGUAUUUAUUUGCUCCUUUCUGAGAAUGAGAGCCCUGUAUAACACAUUUUGUUCUCUUUUGCCCUUGUCCUCUGAUUUUAUGCUUUGUUAAACAUACCUAUAUGUUCUUUGUGGUAGAAUUAAUGCCAAAAUAAAGAUAGAGUGGUGAACUUUA